rnacentral:rRNA from 1 species
CCCGUGGCGACGUCUCUCGUACGCUAGAGAUCGUCGCUUUGGUGGCCGCUAGAAGAUGACGAGGGGCGGACGGGUGAGUAAUGCUUGGGAACUUGCCUUUGCGAGGGGGAUAACAGUUGGAAACGACUGCUAAUACCGCAUAAUGUCUUCGGACCAAACGGGGCUUAGGCUCCGGCGCAAAGAGAGGCCCAAGUGAGAUUAGCUAGUUGGUAAGGUAACGGCUUACCAAGGCGACGAUCUCUAGCUGUUCUGAGAGGAAGAUCAGCCACACUGGGACUGAGACACGGCCCAGACUCCUACGGGAGGCAGCAGUGGGGAAUAUUGCACAAUGGGGGAAACCCUGAUGCAGCCAUGCCGCGUGUGUGAAGAAGGCCUUCGGGUUGUAAAGCACUUUCAGUUGUGAGGAAAAGUUAGUAGUUAAUACCUGCUAGCCGUGACGUUAACAACAGAAGAAGCACCGGCUAACUCCGUGCCAGCAGCCGCGGUAAUACGGAGGGUGCGAGCGUUAAUCGGAAUUACUGGGCGUAAAGCGCACGCAGGCGGUUUGUUAAGCUAGAUGUGAAAGCCCCGGGCUCAACCUGGGAUGGUCAUUUAGAACUGGCAGACUAGAGUCUUGGAGAGGGGAGUGGAAUUCCAGGUGUAGCGGUGAAAUGCGUAGAUAUCUGGAGGAACAUCAGUGGCGAAGGCGACUCCCUGGCCAAAGACUGACGCUCAUGUGCGAAAGUGUGGGUAGCGAACAGGAUUAGAUACCCUGGUAGUCCACACCGUAAACGCUGUCUACUAGCUGUGUGUGCCUUUAAGGCGUGCGUAGCGAAGCUAACGCGAUAAGUAGACCGCCUGGGGAGUACGGCCGCAAGGUUAAAACUCAAAUGAAUUGACGGGGGCCCGCACAAGCGGUGGAGCAUGUGGUUUAAUUCGAUGCAACGCGAAGAACCUUACCUACACUUGACAUGCUGAGAAGUUACUAGAGAUAGUUUCGUGCCUUCGGGAACUCAGACACAGUGCUGCAUGGCUGUCGUCAGCUCGUGUCGUGAGAUUGUUGGUUAGUCCCGCACGAGCGCACCCUUGUCUUAGUUGCAGCAUUCAGUUGGCACUCUAGAGACUGC